AGCAGCCGCGGUAAUUCCAGCUCCAAUAGCGUAUAUUAAAGUUGUUGCAGUUAAAAAGCUCGUAGUUGAAUUUCGAGACCGGUUUAUUGGUCGUGCUUUUGUACGUACUGGUAUUAUUGGUUUCUCCUUUCUGACGAAUCUUAAUGCCAUUAAUUUGGUGUUUUGGGGAAUCUGGACUGUUACUUUGAAAAAAUUAGAGUGUUUAAAGCAGGCUCACGCUUGAAUACAUUAGCAUGGAAUAACGGAAUAGGACGUUUGAUUCUAUUUUGUUGGUUUCUAGGAUCGACGUAAUGAUUAAUAGGGAUAGUUGGGGGCAUUAGUAUUCAAUUGUCAGAGGUGAAAUUCUUGGAUUUAUUGAAGACUAACUACUGCGAAAGCAUUUGCCAAGGAUGUUUUCAUUAAUCAAGAACGAAAGUUAGGGGAUCGAAGACGAUCAGAUACCGUCGUAGUCUUAACCAUAAACUAUGCCGACUAGGGAUCGGAUGAUGUUAAUUUUUAAUGACUCAUUCGGCGCCUUACG
rnacentral:rRNA from 1 species